rnacentral:rRNA from 1 species
AUUGAACGCUGGCGGCAUGCCUUACACAUGCAAGUCGAACGGUAACAGGUUAAGCUGACGAGUGGCGAACGGGUGAGUAACACAUCGGAACGUGCCCAAUCGUGGGGGGAUAACGUAGCGAAAGCUACGCUAAUACCGCAUACGAUCUACGGAUGAAAGCGGGGAUCGCAAGACCUCGCGCGAAUGGAGCGGCCGAUGGCAGAUUAGGUAGUUGGUGGGGUAAAGGCUCACCAAGCCGACGAUCUGUAGCUGGUCUGAGAGGACGACCAGCCACACUGGGACUGAGACACGGCCCAGACUCCUACGGGAGGCAGCAGUGGGGAAUUUUGGACAAUGGGCGCAAGCCUGAUCCAGCCAUGCCGCGUGUGGGAAGAAGGCCUUCGGGUUGUAACCGACUUU